rnacentral:rRNA from 1 species
GACGAACGCUGGCGGCGUGCUUAACACAUGCAAGUCGAACGGAAAGGCCCUGCUUUUGUGGGGUGCUCGAGUGGCGAACGGGUGAGUAACACGUGAGUAACCUGCCCUUGACUUUGGGAUAACUUCAGGAAACUGGGGCUAAUACCGGAUAGGAGCUCCUGCUGCAUGGUGGGGGUUGGAAAGUUUCGGCGGUUGGGGAUGGACUCGCGGCUUAUCAGCUUGUUGGUGGGGUAGUGGCUUACCAAGGCUUUGACGGGUAGCCGGCCUGAGAGGGUGACCGGCCUCCUUGGGACUGAGGUACGGACCAGACUCCUACGGGAGGCAACAGUGGGGAAUAUUGCACAAUGGGCCGGAGCCUGAUGCAGCAACGUCGCGGUCGGGAUGACGGCCUUCGGGUUGUAAACCGCUUUCGGCUGUUACGAAGCGGGAGUGACGGUAAUGGGUAAAGAAGCACCGGCUAACUACGUG